rnacentral:rRNA from 1 species
GACGAACGCUGGCGGCGUGCUUAACACAUGCAAGUCGAACGAAGUGGCGAACGGGUGAGUAACGCGUAAUCAAACUGCCCUUCAGAGGGGGACAACAGUUGGAAACGACUGCUAAUACCGCAUACUGAAGGAGGGAAUUGCGACUGAUUGGCUAGUUGGAGGGGUAAGGGCCCACCAAGGAGAUGAUCAGUAGCCGGUCGGAGAGGAGGAUAGGCCACAUUGGGACUUAGACACGGCCCAGACUCCUACGGGAGGCAGCAGUGGGGAAUCUUCCGCAAUGGACGAAAGUCUGACGGAGCAACGCCGCGUGAGUGAUGACGGCCUUCGGGUUGUAAAGCUCUGUUAAUCGGGACGCGGUACCGGAAUAGAAAGCCACGGCUAACUACGUGCCAGCAGCCGCGGUAAUUC